GAUGAACGCUGGCGGCGUGCCUAAUACAUGCAAGUCGAGCGGACAGAUGAGGAGCUUGCUCCUCUGACGUUAGCGGCGGACGGGUGAGUAACACGUGGAUAACCUACCUAUAGGACUGGGAUAACUUCGGGAAACCGGAGCUAAUACCGGAUAAUAUAUUGAACCGCAUGGUUCAAUAGUGAAAGACGGUUUUGCUGUCACUUAUAGAUGGAUCCGCGCCGCAUUAGCUAGUUGGUAAGGUAACGGCUUACCAAGGCAACGAUGCGUAGCCGACCUGAGAGGGUGAUCGGCCACACUGGAACUGAGACACGGUCCAGACUCCUACGGGAGGCAGCAGUAGGGAAUCUUCCGCAAAGGGCGAAAGCCUGACGGAGCAACGCCGCGUGAGUGAUGAAGGUCUUCGGAUCGUAAAACUCUGUUAUUAGGGAAGAACAAAUGUGUAAGUAACUAUGCACGUCUUGACGGUACCUAAUCAGAAAGCCACGGCUAACUACGUG
rnacentral:rRNA from 1 species